rnacentral:rRNA from 1 species
AACGAACGCUGGCGGCAGGCCUAACACAUGCAAGUCGAGCGCCCCGCAAGGGGAGCGGCGGACGGGUGAGUAACGCGUGGGAAUUUUUCCUGGAGUACGGAACAACCGAGGGAAACUUCGGCUAAUACCGUAUGAUAUCGAGAGAUCAAAGAUUUAUCGCUCUGGGGUGAGCCCGCGUCAGAUUAGGUAGUUGGUGGGGUAACGGCCUACCAAGCCUGUGAUCUGUAGCUGGUCUGAGAGGACGAUCAGCCACACUGGGACUGAGACACGGCCCAGACUCCUACGGGAGGCAGCAGUGGGGAAUCUUGCGCAAUGGGCGAAAGCCUGACGCAGCCAUGCCGCGUGAGUGAAGAAGGUCUUAGGAUUGUAAAGCUCUUUCGCUCGUGACGAUGAUGACGGUAACGAGAGAAGAAGCCCCGGCUAACUUCGUGCCAGCAGCCGCAGUAA